rnacentral:lncRNA from 12 species
CCCACUGACCAUCAAAUUCAAUGUGAAGUCGUGAAGACCAAACACUGCUGUAAUAUUUCAGAGUAUCAUUUGAUGAAAUUGUCUGAAUUUUCAACUGUCUACAGAGAGCCUUCUGGGUACCAGGAACAGCCCUUUUGUGAGACAACACUGAAACAUUUCCAAAAGAGAGACAAGUUUUGUAUGCAGGUGGGGGUGUUUGCCCAAUGCCGAGUUUCUGGAAAGAGUCAUUUCCACACAGUGCGCACACACGAAAGGCGCUGAAAAUGCUCAGAGGUGAAUGCAGUGCUGCAGAGUGGCGAGUAGCAUGCUAGGUUUGGAACCAAAGGCUUUGCAUUGGAACUCCAGGCUUUUGGCUUAAACAUGUAUGCUGCCUGGGACCAGGUAAGUAGACUAUUUGAGCCUGUUUCCUUACCAAUGAAAUUAGGUUGGUACUUAACCAUGUUUGCUGUGAUAAUUCAAUAGACACGAAAGGUUUACUAUUGAGUCAAGCAUAUUAGGUACUUAGUAAAACUUAUGAAUAUCUAGAUCUAUUCUAGGAAAUAUUUGUCCAAAAAAUGUAAUUACUUUUGUGUUAAUAGGUUAAUAGGAUUACUUAUUCAACAUCUUACCAAAAUAUGGGCUUCAGAUUUGCCAUUUUGUAGCUCAUGUCCCAAGGGAAUUGUGUGUGAAUAUGGUAUUAAAUUAAUAGAAAAGGUGUGUGCUGAAUAAACCUACCCACAACUAUUUUUAUUCA